rnacentral:rRNA from 1 species
UGGGGAAUUUUGGACAAUGGGCGCAAGCCUGAUCCAGCAAUGCCGCGUGCAGGAUGAAGGCCUUCGGGUUGUAAACUGCUUUUGUACGGAACGAAAAGCCUCUCUCUAAUACAGGGGGGUGAUGACGGUACCGUAAGAAUAAGCACCGGCUAACUACGUGCCAGCAGCCGCGGUAAUACGUAGGGUGCAAGCGUUAAUCGGAAUUACUGGGCGUAAAGCGUGCGCAGGCGGUUUUGUAAGACAGUGGUGAAAUCCCCGGGCUCAACCUGGGAACUGCCAUUGUGACUGCAAGGCUGGAGUGCGGCAGAGGGGGAUGGAAUUCCGCGUGUAGCAGUGAAAUGCGUAGAUAUGCGGAGGAACACCGAUGGCGAAGGCAAUCCCCUGGGCCUGCACUGACGCUCAUGCACGAAAGCGUGGGGAGCAAAACGGGAUUAGAUACCCUGGUAGUCCACGCCCUAAACGAUGUCAACUGGUUGUUGGGGAUUUAUUUCUUCAGUAACGAAGCUAACGCGUGAAGUUGGACCGCCUGGGGAGUACGGCCGCAAGGUUAAAAACCUAAAGGAAUUGACGGGGUCAUAGCUGUUUCCU